CCUACGGGCGGCAGCAGUGAGGAAUAUUGGUCAAUGGACGAGAGUCUGAACCAGCCAAGUAGCGUGAAGGAUGACUGCCCUAUGGGUUGUAAACUUCUUUUAUAUGGGAAUAAAAUGUUCCACGUGUGGGAUUUUGUAUGUACCAUAUGCAUAAGGAUCGGCUAACUCCGUGCCAGCAGCCGCGGUAAUACGGAGGAUCCGAGCGUUAUCCGGAUUUAUUGGGUUUAAAGGGAGCGUAGGUGGAUUUUUAAGUCAGUUGUGAAAGUUUGCGGCUCAACCGUAAAAUUGCAGUUGAAACUGGCAGUCUUGAGUACAGUAGAGGUGGGCGGAAUUCGUGGUGUAGCGGUGAAAUGCUUAGAUAUCACGAAGAACUCCGAGUGCGAAGGCAGUUCACUGGACUGCAACUGACACUGAGGCUCGAAAGUGUGGGUAUCAAACAGGAUUAGAUACCCGAGUAGUC
rnacentral:rRNA from 1 species